UCUAAAGUAUCAGUUGGAGAAUAAAGA
rnacentral:piRNA from 1 species